GGAAUGAGAUUAAUUCUUUAACUCUUUCCCUUUAGCACCAAAACACAAACCCUAAUCCUUAUUCUCAAGAUAAUAGCCGCCCUUUCUCCUCCUCUCUCUCAUUUCUCUCUCUAUUCCUCUUUUCUCCCUUCUCUCUAAACGGAACCAACGCCAAAAGCCAUGCAAAGACGAUCGUAUUCCAUCUGUUAACCAACACCAGUGCCGCUGCUCCUCUCUCCACCGCCGGCAGACAUCUCCAAUCGAAGAACUCCUUUCGUUCACCAUCACCUCCUUCAGCCUCCCCCAAAUCCGCCAUGAACCACCGGCGAAUAGCGACACUACUGUUUUCUCUCCUCUACCAGCGCUGCCCUACGGCGCCUCUCCGUUUUCCUCUCCGCCUUCACCCACUAGCCAUCAAAGAAGUGGGAAACUUCAUCGCCGCUCCAGCCCCCUCAGACGCCCCACCUGCCACAACUACGGUCCUUUCAGUCACAUCACUACCCAGCCGCCAGUCACCCGCUGGAGACUCCCAUCCCCCCACUCGUCGUCUCUUCUCUAACCAACAAUGAUGAAAUUAUUCAAGUGCAUGGCGGAUUUACAGGUAGGAUGUGAAUCCGCUUAAGGUUCGUCUUUCUAUUUUAUUUUUUUGUCAAAAAUUUCUUCUACCCUUUUUUUUAGUUUUGAUAGAUCUCAUGAUUAAAUUGGUAUGGAUUGAUUGAGAAUUUUAUCAAUUCUUGUGGAUUUGUGUUUGUUUAGUCAAAUAUACUGUCAUGGUAUUUUGUCGGUCACUUGAAGAAAUUAAUUACGUGAUUUUGACAUGAUUAGUUUGGUUUGAUUACAUGUUCCCAUCCUAAUUGAUUACUCUCUAUAGUCAAAUUCGGAAUGACAGAGUAUUUAGAUGACUUUGUUUGGUGGAAUUUCUCUUUUUGUUUAGCAUACGACAAUCCUUGAUGCUCAAUGUUGGUUCCUUUUCGAAUUUAUUUUAUCUUCUUGUUUAUAGUAGGAAUUCUUUGUUAAUUGAUUAUCUUUAAUUUUCUCUUGUUUCAUUGGCUGAACCUUAUUCUUAAUUGUGUUAGUUGAAAAAGGAAAUUAGAGUGAUUGAUUUUUCCUCUGAUUGAAUAUUAUUAGUUAAUUGAUUUUAUGUUUAGAGAAAAUCUCCUUGACUGGUUACAUCGAAUUCUUUUUUUAUUGCCUUGAUCUUUCUAUUUGUUUCAUUGUCCUUUUUGUCAAUUUUGGUACAAGAGUUGAAUUGUGAUCUUUCUUUAUUGUGGUACAAGAGUUGAAUUGUUCUGCAUUUCUUAUGUUUGCUAAUUUCUACAGCAAGCCAACUAAAAUAUGACUUCUUUUUAGUGUGAACUGUUAAGGGAAAUCGACAGAUGGAUAUGCACUACUCACUAGGAAUAAGAAAUCUUUUUCUUAUAAGAUAGCUAGUUUUAAUUUGCAUUGCAAACCUAAAACAAAACCAGAAAUAGAUUUGAACUUGAGAUGCCAUGGUCUUUGUCCACCCAUAUGUUUUAAGUUAAUAUGCAGUAUUUCAAUUACUCUCCUAUAUUGUUGUUUCUAUCUGUAGUUAGUCUUGAAUAUGUUUUAUUUCCAUCAAUUGUGCAUCAUUAUUUUAGUAAGUGUUAUUUACUUAAGUGACAAUUCAGAAACAGAGAGAGAGAACCCAUAUCCCCUCGCCAGGAGCAACUUCAAUUCAGUUACAUUGUAGCUGUUGUUUCUCGGUAUAUACAUACAACUCUCUUAGCAAUUGAAAGAUUUUGCCAUAUCUAACAAAUGUUCCGCAUGCAAAUGUCAAGAUUGCAAGGCAAAACACGAUAGAGUGAUUAAUGCUAUUAAUACACUAACUGCUUCUAUAAAGGAAAUAGCAUCUAAGCAGGGUGUCAUUCCAUCAAAGAGGAUUUCAUAUCCAUACACUCCAUUAGAGAUCAAGGCAACUAAAAGGAGAAGGAAAGAUACUUUCAAGGCAUCACCAAGCAUCGAAAAAGCAAAAUUACAAUGCCUCUGUCUUUGUCUUGAACCGUUGUUCAGUGUGCAAGCGCCACAGAAGAGCAUCAUGAGCCGAAGAAGGUAGAUGUAAUAGUAGAAACCACUGCUGAAGAGCAUAACAUCACAGUUGAUAAUCCAUCAACUGCAUCCAAAGAAGAAGAAAAUGUGGAGUCUGUCAGUUCGGGAGAACGGAAGAAUUACCCGUUUGAAGGGUUCAACAUCUCGAAUAAGGCUCCAAAAAAACUAACACAGUUGAUCAAUGACUAUUCAUAAUGGAUUACCGAUGGGCUGUUAAAUCAUCACACCGGCAGCAAAAGAUAUGCUGCUCUUUUAUGGAAAUACGAAGAAGCAAAAGCUCAUAAGCCAUAUGCAGGCGACAUUAAAUAUCCACAACCACCAAAGCCAAAUUCCACAGCACCGGAUGAAGAACAACUUGUCCAUAUUGAGUAAAUCUAUAUAGCAUGAGUCUGUCAAUGUAAUAACCUAUCCUCCUUAGUUUAACUUGUUGAUUUAUUUGUAGAGUAGAUCAUU